rnacentral:lncRNA from 1 species
AAAGAAGAAAACAUGGCAGAAAGAAAAAUCUCAGAGUCUAAAAGAAUGGGACUUGAUCCUCUUGACACCAUUUGGAAGAUCAUGUUUAGAAGAACUACAAAAACUAUGCUGGGCUUGUACAUGUCUCAGGACAUAAAUAUGGUUUUCAUAAAGCCCAGAUUGUAUUCCAAAAUAGCCCAUAAGUCCAACAACAGGUGUUAUAUAUUGUACCCUUUUUAAGCACUUUACUUUGAAGAGGGAUACAAAUGAGAGCUUCUGAUGAGAUGACUAGGGAUCUACUGGGCCAGCAUGUCUUGAAGAUGGAGCUUGCUCAUGUGAAUGGCUCAGCAGAUGCAGUGAACUCACAUCCCACUGGAGGCCAUCGCAUGGAGGGGGGUAGCUGUGCCAAUGUUCAUGUGAAGAGGACACUGGGAAUUGAAGGAGGUGUGUAUAUUCUCUGCCAGCAUGGAGAGCAGAAAUUCAGAUAUGUACUUCCUCCAGCUCCCUCAAUGGUUUAUAUUCCGCAUCCUUAGUGUCUUGCAGGUAGUGACCACUCAAAAAAUGUUUGGUAAAAAACAAGUGUUCUUGAAGGUUAACUUUUAAAGUCCUUAUUUCAUACCUUA